UACGGAGGAUGCGAGCGUUAUCCGGAUUUAUUGGGUUUAAAGGGUGCGCAGGCGGGACGCCAAGUCAGCGGUCAAAUUUCGGGGCUCAACCCCGACCUGCCGUUGAAACUGGCGUCCUUGAGUGGGCGAGAAGUAUGCGGAAUGCGUGGUGUAGCGGUGAAAUGCGUAGAUAUUAGGAGGAACACCAGUGGCGAAGGCAGCAUACCGGCGCUCAACUGACGCUGAAGCACGAAAGCGUGGGGAUCGAA
rnacentral:rRNA from 1 species